rnacentral:rRNA from 1 species
UACGAAGGGGGGCUAGCGUUGCUCGGAAUCACUGGGCGUAAAGGGUGCGUAGGCGGGUCUUUAAGUCAGGGGUGAAAUCCUGGAGCUCAACUCCAGAACUGCCUUUGAUACUGAGGAUCUUGAGUUCGGGAGAGGUGAGUGGAACUGCGAGUGUAGAGGUGAAAAUUCGUAGAUAUUCGCAAGAACACCAGUGGCGAAGGCGGCUCACUGGACCAAUUCUGACACUGAGGAGCGAAAGCCAGGGGAGCAAACGGG